UAGAGUUUGAUCCUGGCUCCGAUUGAACGCUGGCGGCCUGCCUAACACCUGCAAGUUCGAACGGGGGUUUUCGGACCCUACGUGGCGGACGGGUGAGUAACGCGUAGGAAUCUGCCUGAUAGAGGGGGACAACCUGGGGACAACUCACGGCUAAUACCGCAUAAUCUCGCGAGAGGAAAGCGGGGGAUCUUCGGACCUCGCGCUAUGAGACGGAGCCUACGUCCGAUUAGCCAGUUGGUAGGGUAAAGGCCUACCAAAGCGACGAUCGGUAGCUGGUCUGAGAAGGAUGAUCAGCCACACUGGGACUGAGACACGGCCCAAGACUCCCUACGGGAGGCAGCAGUGGGGAAAUAUUGGACAAUGGGCGCAAGCCUGAUCCAGCAAUGCCGCGUGGGUGAAGAAGGCCUGCGGGUUGUAAAGCCCUUUAGUGGGGAAGAAAUAUGGGGUGCGAACAGUGCCUUAUUUGACAUUACCCACAGAAUAGCACGGCUAACUCCGUGC
rnacentral:rRNA from 1 species